rnacentral:rRNA from 1 species
GAGUGAAGAGGGACAAGCUCAAAUUUUAAAUCUAUCGGGUUUUACCUGAUCGAGUUGUAAUUUGAAGAGGCGUUUUCUGCGUAUUUGGUUAGCCCAAGUCCUAUUGAAUGAGGCAUCAUGGAGGGUGAUAAUCCCGUCCGGUUGAUCAUUUGCGUUUUACGAUACGCUUUCAAAGAGUCAAGUUGUUUGGGAUUGCAGCUUAGAAUGGGAGGUAAAUUUCUCCUAAGGCUAAAUAUUGGCGAGAGACCGAUAGCGAACAAGUACCGUGAGGGAAAGAUGAAAAGAACAUUGAAAAGAGAGUUAAACAGUACGUGAAAUUGUUGAAAGGGAAACGAUUGAAGCCAGUCGUACCGGCGGGUAAUCAGCCUUUCGGGUAUGAUUCUGUGGAGCGUGAGGAGUUAAACGCUUUCAUGCCUGCAUAUUCGUGCUCUUGGGUGUACUUGCUCGUGUGGUUGGUUAACAUCAAUUUCGGUUAUCAUAAAAUGGCUGGAGGAAUGUAGCUUCGAUCUCGUAUUGAAGUGUUAUAGCCUUCGGUAGAUGUGAUGAUCGAGAUUGAGGAUUGCAACGGAUACCCUACGGGGCUACCUGUCUGGUCUCUGAUCGUUGCUCUGGUGCCGAAAGCUUGCUUACGGUUAUCAAAGUCGAUGGUCAAUAGGUUAGAACGGGUUAAAUUCGUUA